GGCGCACGGGGAAAUGGUGGGCUCCGGAGGAGGAGGAUGAGAAGCCCUUUUCCUCCCUUACCCCGCGGCGCGAGAAGAGUAGGGGCAAAUGAACAGAGUCACACCCAGAACUACCUUCUUCUCCAAGCCAUCCAGGCACGGACCCCGCACCUUGCAUACCCCCUCCAACCUCAAAGGAGAGGGACGAAGAAGGGUCGUGACUUUGCCUGCGCACCCGCUGCAGGAACCCUGGCGGGCAUGAACCCGCAUAUGCGCCCAGAGCGAUUCCGAGUUGAAAGUCGCUCAGAACGCAGGACUGGAGUUGAGGCUUGAAGGGGCCGGGGGUGUCAACUUACCCUGGAAAGUUUGCUGAUUCCUGCCCAAGAUGGCUGCAGCCCCAAUUGAUGUCAUGAGAAGCAGAAGAACUGCCCUGAUGAAUCCAGUCAACCUAUAUGUUAAAGAAAAGAAAAACAGGCAGCAAAUGAUUAGGAAGUUCAGUGAAGGAAAUGGAAAGUAUUUGCUGUGGACUUGCCUUCAUAAGUACAGACACGCCGGUUGUAACAAAGGAAACAGAGAAGAAUUGAUAGCGACUGUUCGGUGACGGUGACGGGCGAAGCCUAAAAUACUGACUAGCCAGUCUUUAACAGAAAAAAUGUGUCCACCCAUGUAGUAAGCAGUUCCCUAGGCUGUGGGUCUGACUGGGUCUUACAUCUCAGACCACUGGAAGGAUGAGUAAAACCUUCCUUGCCAGGUACUAAUGAUACCUCUUUAGUACUGCCCUGGAGACCGAUUGCUCCAUAGAAAGAUUUUCAAUAAGGAUCUCUGUGACACAGAAGAGUACCAACUGGCCUGAAGCCAUCUUGAUGGAGAGACCAUGUGGGAGGCUCCACAGAGAUAUUUCUAGCUGUUUGAGCCUUUUCCCCACAAUCAACCUCUGGACCCAAGAGAGCUAGCCUUCAAACCACCCCUCACUGAUGCUGAGUGGAGCAGAGACCAGCUGUACGAUGGAGCCCUGACCAAAUUACAAAGUAAUCAGCAAUAAAGUGUUAUGCUACUAAGUUUUCUUGUGGUAUGCAAUGCAUCAUCAGAUAACCAGAACACUAGGAUUUGGAGAAAGUUUUGAUACAGUUAAAUGCUAAGUGAAAGUUAAUAUACUCAUCACAGGGGUAGCUGAUCAGCAAACUGUAAUUUGUGGCGUUAGUAUCCGAUUUAAAGCAGAAAGCCACCUUGUCUUGAUAAGAGCUGUUGACAUACAUUCAACUGGUUAACCAGGUUCCUUGAUAGUCUUCUGAAACCUAACCAUAGUCUAACAUCCUGAUUUCUUAAUUAUGAUAAUAAAGUGAACAGAGUAAGGCACAGGAUGUAGGGGUCCUUUAGUUGUCUACUUCUUACGACUCUCUGGGCUGGGAAGUAGAUAGAGUUCAGCUGGAUAGGUCCUCUGCUGCAUGUGAUUUGGUGGCAGUCACUCACUCAGCUGCCUUCAGUUGUGGCUGGGUUGGGCUGGAAGGUCCAAGAAGGCCUCCCUCAUGUGUCUGCUGUCUUCUAUGUGGCCUCUUCACCCAUGUGUUUUGUCACAUCACACAGUAGUCUAACCCAAGCUUCUUUGAUGCAUGAAGGCUGCCUUCCCAGUGGGGGAAGGGGAAGCAGACACACCUCUCAGGUCUUGAGCUUGAAAGUCCAAGAAUGUCACUCCCACUGCAUCCUACUGGCUAAAUGGAGUCACGAAUCAAGUCAAGGGGAGGGGAAAGAGACUCCACCUGUAGAUGGAUGGCGUGUCAUGCACAUACAGGUUGGGAAGAAAUUGAUGGCCAUUUUGGAGACAAACAGGAAGAGGAUCUGGUUCUGAAGAGGGAGAGAGUGGUUCUAAUCCUAGCUCUGCCAUUAACUAGCUGCGUGGUGUUGGCCAAGUCACCUGUUAAUGCUUAACCAGUUUGUUCAUAUGCCAGGUGAGGAGAAUGAGCCAUAAGCUGGAGAACCUAUCUGGUUCCAAAAAUUUGCCUCUAAUCAAGAUAAAACCUACAUUAGCCUAGAAGGUGAGGGCAGGAGGGUAUGUAAACAGAAACACAAUUAAUGAAUUAUCCAAUUGUUCUCUUCUGAGUUAGCCUGAGUUUAACCUUUAUCUCUGGACUGGCCAAUUAGACUUGUGACAUCCCCCUAAUCACUCAUCACAUGAUCUCAGCUUCUGAGGCUAUUCUUCUAUCUUCAGGACUUUGCUCCUGUUACAACCUAUUUUCCUUUCCACCUCUUCCUCUUCCUUAGCCUCAGGGGGUGGGAAAUCAAAAUGCUGUUGGGUUUUACAGCUAGGUAUACUAUCUUUUACAGGGAGAAGGAAGCAUAAGAGCUCUGAAAGGAGAUGGAGUAGGGAUCCUGGAACUAGGAUUUGACAAAAUAAUUUAGCCAAUUGAAUAUAUGUCUAUAACCAUUGUGUUGAACAAUCCAAACCUGUUGAAAGGAGAGAACCCUAAAGUGAACUGGAUUUUUUGUUUUGUUUUGUUUUUUUAAAAAAUCUUCAACCAUGGACUUUAUACUUUCGAAAUAGGCAAUUCCUUCGGCAAGUAUUCUCAAAAAUCUUCAUUUCGGGAGAACUACAAGUUGCCAAAAGGUCCCCUAGAACUAGAUCUUUGAUCAGUAAUUGGGAGGUUGGGUAUAAGGAUAAGCUCUGUGGUAGGUUGAGCACAGGGUCUCUACCAUAAAGAGCUCAUUAUUCAGGAAGUUAUCAGGUGCCUUCCCAUUUGCUGUCCUAAGGUAGACAUAGCAGUUGAGCCGUUACUGGCUCUAUCUGCCUCAGAAAUUUCCACAACAGCAUCCAGAUACAGGCAGAAUCUUGUGCACCUUACCCAGUUCAAUUACUCCUUUAUCAAAGUCCUUAAUUUUCCAUGUGGGAUGUGGUAGAACAGUAAAACUGAGAUCUUUCUGGCACUAAGCUCUUACCCCGUCCCUACGUCUUUUGUACUUUAUUGCCAGAACUCUCAGGAGUUCUGGCAAUAAAGUACAAUGAAGAAAUGGUAUUUCUUCAUUGUACAAUAAAUACAAAUGAAGAAAUGGUAUUUAUUUAUUUAUUUAUUUUUUUGGUCACCAUAAGUGAUAUACAAAUCCUUAUGCUCAAGAACGUAGCUUAUCAUUACAACUAGAACAUAGAUUACCAUCUGCUAGAUCUGCUACCCAAUUAAUUUUUUGGUGUUUAUCCCUUCUCUCAGCUCUUGCUGUUAUCUCCAUAAACUAGGAUCUUCUUAUCCUUGUUUCCUUAAUAAUUCACACUGUCUCCCCUCACAGCCUAUUUCCAGGGCUUCCAUCUCCUCAAAAAUUCAGUUUAGGCCCCACAAAGCCAAAUGAAGGAAAGAAAUUCUUUCAAAUGUUAUGAAGAAAGAUGUGAUUAAAAAUCAAUCCGUGAACAGUUACCAAGUUCUAAAAAUCUUUGGGGAAGAGGGUGGCAAAGAGGAACCAGAAAUUUAAGAUCUCCAGUCAGUAAUGCUUUUCAUUAUAUAUUCAAUUCCCAUUGUUCCUUAAUCUUUCCCCCAUUCUAUAUGGACAAGAAAAUGAAAUUUGGGGUAGAGUAGCAGAUCUGGAUAGUAUUUGCAUCCAGAUACCAACCUAAAAAACUGUCCAUGGGAACUCAUAAUCAAGCGCAGCUAUCUGCUGCCAAAUAUGACAAAUGGGGACAUAUAUUCACUUAAGUCCUGUAUCAGUAACAUUCCAUCUUACCAGAGGCUAUGACACUUUCUUCCUAGUGUUAGAAACAACGAAAAGCUUCUAGUCCUCAAGGGAAAUGUGGCUUGAGGGAUCCUUGGUGUAUGACACACAAAACUGACAUAACACACAUACUUCGUAUUUCAAAUAUAACUUCGCGGUGUACAAAUAAUACCUAUAAUUGGGUUAAAUUAAUGGCAGUAGUCUAAGCAUCGGUGAAGUUCUAGGCCUGCCCUGGACUAGCCUCUAGAGCAGGUUACUGCCGGUGGGUGCCCUCAGGUGAGACUUCAUCUCUGGGCUUACUACUCCUACUGGGAGAUGAAACUUGGCUCAGAGCGCCCUGGAGACGAUCAUUACUGCAGCGUGUGCCACUCUUCAGGAACCCCUGAUGUUCUUACAUGAAGGACUUAGUUGGGGUUCGAGUGAUUUAGACAUAAAAUGGGAAAAUCCGGAGCAGUUCUGACUUCCCUUUGACGACGCCAAAAGGGCAUUGAGUGCAGCCCACGACACCCACUUUUUUCUUUUUCAGAGGAAACGCCUCCUCUCCCAUCCAGACCUGCCCCGCCUCCCCGCCUUCCAAAAUAACUCGCGGCCUCAGCAGCUCAACCGCGUUCUGACCCCAUCCAAACCCCUACCGCGCGCACGCGCACAGAGAGAGCGGCAAAGCCCGCGGCGGGGCGGGAGGUGCAGGCGCGAGCCUAGGCUCCAGCUCUCCCUCGACGGGGCGGGGCCCCGAGGGGCGGGGCGAGAGCGAGGUCCCGCCUUGCCAUUGGCGUUGGCCUGGCCAGGUGGAGGGCCAGGUGGAGGCCCGCGUGAGCAGCUGGCCCACGGGCCCACGGUCCCAAGGGCCCCUGCGCGCAGGCGCAGAGCGGGGCUGGGAGCGAAGGCGGGGGAGGGAGUGCCUGGGAAUAGGCAACGUACUCCUGGCGCGGUGCCUUGCAGCUGAUGGCGGGUGGGGCCGUAGAGUAGGGCUGGCCGCCGCUUUCUCCUGUGGACCGAGGCUGCUGACGGGAAAACGAUCCGGGAGGGAAGCGUCCGCGCCCAGGCCCCUUUCCCUGAAAGUCUGCGGCAUCUUAGAGCCGAGUAAACCAGACAGAACGUUGAAGUUCGCAGACCUCAGCCUUCGAGGCCUCUCUGCCCGCUGCCGGCUUUGAGUCCUCUGGCGUCACUUAGCCUGGCCUCGGUUUCCCCACUCUUGUAGAGGGCUUGUGGCCUGAGAGUGGCCGCGAAGAAGAGUUCACGUCACAACCACUACGUGCCUAGUGAGUUUUUUGAGCAUCCAAGUCACGCCCUUGCCCUCAGGGAGCCGGGUGCCUAGUGGCGGCUCUGAGCAAGAUGGAAGUUCCGCGGUGGUGUAGCGCCAGGGCCCGGAGUGCGCCCCUCCUGGUGGCUUGGCCGCACUGCCUGCGUGGGCUCCAGCCUCGGCUUCCUCAUCAGCGCACAGAAUGUGCUUCACAGGUAACGAGGGAGUGUGGAGUGCCAAGCGUCGUCCCUGGCACGUGGUGGGCUCACAACACGAGUUCCAGGCUUCAGUCAGUGCCAAGGGUAUCUUUCAGAGCAGCCAGGAGGUCCAGAGGUGCAAACACAGACCAUGCGACUCAGGGGGCAUAGCUGGAGAACAGAAUCCAGUUCCUCUCCGACCGGCUAGGGAAAAGGGAUAUGAUGAUUAAUUGAUUAAGCACACUCCCUUUGAUCCUUGUCUUGCCUUAGAAAAGGCUUCCUCAGGCUUCCUUUCCCCGUCUUUUUAGUUGGUAGUGUUUUAGAAAGGCUAGGAAACAUUGAUUUUUCUGAAUUCACUCUUACAUUAAGUCCUGUUCUGAUGAUGAAGAAGGAAACUUGAUUGAUCUGCAUUUGGGGCAGUUAUUAGUGUACUGGAUUAAUUUGGAAUAAACUUGUCAGUACUCAACAGGAGAGCUGGCAAAAAAGCAGAUGUUCAACUGUUAGUGUGGCUCUCUGUUGAAGGCUUGAAAAAUAUUCGUGUUCUGUACUGUGUUAGCUUCCUGGUCUCAAUAAUACCCACCCCUACCUCCAUUGUCACUAGGGUGGUCCUUAUAAACUAUUGUUAAUUCUUUUUUUGAGACAUUUUUGACCUUAAUGUCACCUUUUCCUACCAGUAACCACUUUAAGAUCCUGUUGCUGCAAGAGUUCAGGGAAAAUCCAUUUGUAAUAUUUAGAGGAUGACCACACCCUGACUUCUGCAGAGUGUUGAGUAAAUCAAACUAGUUUGUUGUUUUUUUUUUUUUUUUUUUUUUUUUUUUCUGGAAAAAACCUGCAGCUGAAACUGAGAUUAGGAAUAAAGAAAACCAGCUGGAUCUUGUCCCUUAAUGCCAGUGAUAGUUUCUGUUUGUGGUCUGUUUGUCAUUCAGCACGCUUUGGGAGAAUGUGACUAGCUUUUUGUAAGCCUACCGUGGUAUGCUCUACGUGAUCCCUUGCAUCCAAGAUAUGCACAGGUUCAACUGAAGAGGCUGUUCUAAGAAAGAUGACUGAGAUGUUUCCGUCUCUAAAGAGAAGCGGUUGCAGCACCCCAAAGGGGCUGCAGUCUCAGGAGUCACUCUCUCAAGUGCCUUCCAGGAAGUCCCCAGCAGGGAGUCAGGUGGCUGCAGGACUGGACACCGCCAGGAACAGUGUUGGCAAAAGCGCCCUGCCUUUCAGCCAGUGGAUCUAACACUUCCUGGGCUCUCACCAGACAUCUGGUUUCUCAGCAACUUGGAGGUUAUCGGCAAAGGUGUCAAUGAUGACCCCGAAAAUCAGAUUAAGGACGAUGAUGAUGACCAUGAAGAAGAACAAGAGGUCAUAGAUGACUCGAGCAGCAAAGAGGGGCUCCUGGAAAAGAGGCAGCUUGCAGGGACCAACUCUGCAAACACGGCAAGGAAUGACAGAUUGGAAACAUGAGUGAGGAGACUCUGGUUCCUGCGUGCCAUCUCCCCAGCUGACAGGAGCCAGAAAGAAUAAAAUGACGGAAUCCAGUAAAAAAAAAAAA